rnacentral:rRNA from 1 species
GCGACCACCGGUUAGGCGGGACCACCCGUCGAGUUUAAGCAUAUCAAUAAGCGGACGAAAGGAAACUUACGAGGAUUCCCUUAGUAACAGCGAGCAAACCGGGAAGAGCCCAGCUUAAAAAUCGGGCAGCCCCUAGUCUGAAUUGUAGUCUGGAGAAGCAA